GUCUCCGUGGUCCAGUGGUUACGACGUUCGGCUGUUACGACAUUCGCUUCAGCGCAUGACUGACUACCGAGAUAUCGGCGGUUCGAUCCCGCCCGGGGACG
rnacentral:tRNA from 1 species